rnacentral:rRNA from 1 species
UACGAGUGCCCCAAGCGUUAUCCGGAAUUAUUGGGCGUAAAGGGUGUGUAGGUGGUUUUGUUAGUCUUUUGUUAAAUUCUUCGGCUUAACCGGGGGCCUGCAAAAGAAACGGCAAAACUAGAGGAUGCGAGAGGUGUGCGGAACUCAUGGUGUAGGGGUGAAAUCCGUUGAUAUCAUGGGGAACACCGAAAGCGAAGGCAGCACACUGGCGCACGCCUGACACUGAAACACGAAAGCGUGGGUAGCGAAUGGG